rnacentral:rRNA from 1 species
CAGUAACUCGAACGAAUGGAAAGUCCAGAAAUGGACAAUGAGUAAUCAUAUAAAAUUCUGGGCGUAGAGGAAUAAUGACUAUUUAUGUCCAUAAGUAUUGACCAAAUUACGUGCCAGCAGUCGCGGUAAUACGUAGAAUACAAGUGUUAUUCAUGUUUAGUCGGUUUAAAGGGUACCUAGACGGGAAACCAAGCAGUAUUGGUACUAGUUUCCUAGAGUUUUAUGUGGGAGGAAAGAAUUGUUAGAAGAGAGAUGAAAUGUUAUGAAACUAACAGGACUGGUAACGGCGAAGGCAUUUCUCUAUGUAAAAACUGACGUUGAGGGACGAAGCCUGGGGUAACGAUAAGGAUUAGAUACCCUAAUAGUCCCAGGAGACAAUUAUGAAUGUCAUAGGCUCGUUAAGUUAGCCU